rnacentral:rRNA from 1 species
CCGCUUCGGUGGUGGAUUAGUGGCGAACGGGUGAGUAACACGUGGGCAAUCUGCCCUGCACUCUGGGACAAGCCCUGGAAACGGGGUCUAAUACCGGAUACGACACAGGAGGGCAUCUUCUCUGUGUGGAAAGCUCCGGCGGUGCAGGAUGAGCCCGCGGCCUAUCAGCUUGUUGGUGGGGUGAUGGCCUACCAAGGCGACGACGGGUAGCCGGCCUGAGAGGGCGACCGGCCACACUGGGACUGAGACACGGCCCAGACUCCUACGGGAGGCAGCAGUGGGGAAUAUUGCACAAUGGGCGAAAGCCUGAUGCAGCGACGCCGCGUGAGGGAUGACGGCCUUCGGGUUGUAAACCUCUUUCAGCAGGGAAGAAGCGCAAGUGACGGUACCUGCAGAAGAAGCACCGGCUAACUACGUGCCAGCAGCCGCGGUAAUACGUAGGGUGCGAGCGUUGUCCGGAAUUAUUGGGCGUAAAGAGCUCGUAGGCGGCUUGUCACGUCGGAUGUGAAAGCCCGGGGCUUAACCCCGGGUCUGCAUUCGAUACGGGCAGGCUAGAGUUCGGUAGGGGAGAUCGGAAUUCCUGGUGUAGCGGUGAAAUGCGCAGAUAUCAGGAGGAACACCGGUGGCGAAGGCGGAUCUCUGGGCCGAUACUGACGCUGAGGAGCGAAAGCGUGGGGAGCGAACAGGAUUAGAUACCCUGGUAGUCCACGCCGUAAACGUUGGGAACUAGGUGUGGGCGACAUUCCACGUCGUCCGUGCCGCAGCUAACGCAUUAAGUUCCCCGCCUGGGGAGUACGGCCGCAAGGCUAAAACUCAAAGGAUUUGACGGGGGCCCGCACAAGCGGCGGAGCAUGUGGCUUAAUUUCG